CAGUAGCCGCGGUAAUACGUAGGGUGCGAGCGUUAAUCGGAAUUACUGGGCGUAAAGCGUGCGCAGGCGGUUAUAUAAGACAGAUGUGAAAUCCCCGGGCUCAACCUGGGACCUGCAUUUGUGACUGUAUAGCUAGAGUACGGUAGAGGGGGAUGGAAUUCCGCGUGUAGCAGUGAAAUGCGUAGAUAUGCGGAGGAACACCGAUGGCGAAGGCAGCCCCCUGGGCCAAUACUGACGCUCAUGCACGAAAGCGUGGGGAGCAAACAGGAUUAGAUACCCCGGUAGUCCCUGUCUCUUAUAC
rnacentral:rRNA from 1 species